UACGGAGGGGGCGAGCGUUAUUCGGAAUUAUUGGGCGUAAAGGGCGCGUAGGCGGCCCGGUAAGUCAAAGGUGAAAUCCCUCGGCUCAACUGAGGAACUGCCUUUGAAACUGUCGGGCUUGAGGCCGGGAGGGGGUAGCGGAAUUCCCGGUGUAGUGGUGAAAUGCGCAGAUAUCAGGAGGAACACCAAUGGCGAAGGCAGCUCACUGGGACGAUACUGACGCUGAGACGCGAAAGCCAGGGGAGCGAACGGG
rnacentral:rRNA from 1 species